AUUGAACGCUGGCGGCAGGCCUAACACAUGCAAGUCGAGCGGAUGAAGGGAGCUUGCUCCUGGAUUCAGCGGCGGACGGGUGAGUAAUGCCUAGGAAUCUGCCUGGUAGUGGGGGAUAACGUCCGGAAACGGGCGCUAAUACCGCAUACGUCCUGAGGGAGAAAGUGGGGGAUCUUCGGACCUCACGCUAUCAGAUGAGCCUAGGUCGGAUUAGCUAGUUGGUGGGGUAAAGGCCUACCAAGGCGACGAUCCGUAACUGGUCUGAGAGGAUGAUCAGUCACACUAGAGCUGAGACACAGUCCAGACUCCUACGAGAGGCAGCAGUGGGGAAUAUUGGACAAUGGGCGAAAGCCUGAUCCAGCCAUGCCACGUGUGUGAAGAAGGUCUUCGGAUUGUAAAGCACUUUAAGUUGGGAGGAAGGGCAGUAAGUUAAUACCUUGCUGUUUUGACGUUACCAACAGAAUAAGCACCGGCUAACUUCGUG
rnacentral:rRNA from 1 species